rnacentral:rRNA from 1 species
GGCCAGACUCCUACGGGAGGCAGCAGUGAGGAAUAUUGGUCAAUGGCCGGAAGGCUGAACCAGCCAAGUCGCGUGAGGGAAUAAGGCCCUAUGGGUCGUAAACCUCUUUUGUCAGGGAGCAAAGGCGUCCACGAGUGGACGAAAGGAGAGUACCUGAAGAAAAAGCAUCGGCUAACUCCGUGCCAGCAGCCGCGGUAAUACGGAGGAUGCGAGCGUUAUCCGGAUUUAUUGGGUUUAAAGGGUGCGUAGGCGGAGUGUCAAGUCAGCGGUAAAAUUUCGGGGCUCAACCCCGUCGUGCCGUUGAAACUGACACCCUUGAGUGAGUGAGAAGUAAGCGGAAUGCGUGGUGUAGCGGUGAAAUGCUUAGAUAUCACGAAGAACCCCGAUUGCGAAGGCAGCUUACUAAACUGUGACUGACAUUGAUGCUCGAAAGUGUGGGUAUCAAACAGGAUUAGAUACCCGGGUA